rnacentral:rRNA from 2 species
ACGGGUGAGUAACACGUGAGUAACCUGCCCUUAACUCUGGGAUAAGCCUGGGAAACUGGGUCUAAUACCGGAUAGGAGCGCCUACCGCAUGGUGGGUGUUGGAAAGAUUUAUCGGUUUUGGAUGGACUCGCGGCCUAUCAGCUUGUUGGUGAGGUAAUGGCUCACCAAGGCGACGACGGGUAGCCGGCCUGAGAGGGUGACCGGCCACACUGGGACUGAGACACGGCCCAGACUCCUACGGGAGGCAGCAGUGGGGAAUAUUGCACAAUGGGCGCAAGCCUGAUGCAGCGACGCCGCGUGAGGGAUGACGGCCUUCGGGUUGUAAACCUCUUUCAGUAGGGAAGAAGCGAAAGUGACGGUACCUGCAGAAGAAGCACCGGCUAACUACGUGCCAGCAGCCGCGGUAAUACGUAGGGUGCGAGCGUUAUCCGGAAUUAUUGGGCGUAAAGAGCUCGUAGGCGGUUUGUCGCGUCUGUCGUGAAAGUCCGGGGCUUAACCCCGGAUCUGCGGUGGGUACGGGCAGACUAGAGUGCAGUAGGGGAGACUGGAAUUCCUGGUGUAGCGGUGGAAUGCGCAGA